GACGAACGCUGGCGGCGUGCCUAAUACAUGCAAGUAGAACGCUGAAGGAGGAGCUUGCUCUUCUGGAUGAGUUGCGAACGGGUGAGUAACGCGUAGGUAACCUGCCUGGUAGCGGGGGAUAACUAUUGGAAACGAUAGCUAAUACCGCAUAAGAGUAGAUGUUGCAUGACAUUUACUUAAAAGGUGCAAUUGCAUCACUACCAGAUGGACCUGCGUUGUAUUAGCUAGUUGGUGGGGUAACGGCUUACCAAGGCGACGAUACAGAGUCGACCUGAGAGGGUGAUCGGCCACACUGGGACGGAGACACGGCCCAGACUCCUACGGGAGGCAGCAGUAGGGAAGCGUCGGCAAUGGACGGAAGUCUGACCGAGCAACGCCGCGGGAGUGAAGAAGGUUGUCGGAUCGUAAAGCUCUGUUGUAAGAGAAGAACGAGUGUGAGAGUGGAAAGUUCACACUGUGACGGUAUCUUACCAGAAAGGGACGGCUAACUACGUG
rnacentral:rRNA from 1 species